UGUCCUACGGGGCGCAGCAGUGAGGAAUAUUGGUCAAUGGGCGGAAGCCUGAACCAGCCAAGUCGCGUGAGGGAAGAAGGCCCUGCGGGUCGCAGACCUCUUUGGACGGGGAGCAAGGCCGCCGACGUGUCGGCGGAAGGAGAGUACCCGUAGAACAGGCAUCGGCUAACCCCGUGCCAGCAGCCGCGGUAAUACGGAGGAUGCGAGCGUUAUCCGGAUUUAUUGGGUUUAAAGGGUGCGCAGGCGGCACGGCAAGCCGGCGGUCAAAUCGCGGGGCCCAACCCCGGGACUGCCCUUGGAACUGC
rnacentral:rRNA from 1 species